rnacentral:rRNA from 1 species
GUACGCUUUUCAGAGGAGGAUUUUCAGCCACCCUUGGAAUGGAGACACGGCCCCAGACUCCUACGGGAGGCACCAGUGGGGAAUUUUCCCCAAUUGGCGGAAAGCCUGACGGAACCACGCCCGCGUGAGGGAGGAAUGCCUGUGGUGUAAACCUCUUUUCUCAGGGAAGAAGAACUGACGGUACUGAGGAAUCAGCAUCGGCUAACUCCGUGCCAGCAGCCGCGGUAAUACGGAGGAUGCAAGCGUUAUCCGGAAUUAUUGGGCGUAAAGCGUCCGCAGGUGGCUUACAAGUCUGCUGUCAAAGCGCAGGGCUUAACUCUGUAAGGGCAGUGGAAACUGGUAGGCUAGAGUGCGACAGGGGUAGAGGGAAUUCCCAGUGUAGCGGUGAAAUGCGUAGAUAUUGGGAAGAACACCAGUGGCGAAGGCGCUCUACUGGGUCGCAACUGACACUCAUGGACGAAAGCUAGGGGAGCGAAAGGGAUUAGAUACCCCUGUAGUCCUAGCUGUAAACGAUGGACACUAGGCGUUGGACGUAUCGACCCGUUCAGUGCCGUAGCUAACGCGUUAAGUGUCCCGCCUGGGGAGUACGCACGCAAGUGUGAAACUCAAAGGAAUUGACGGGGGCCCGCACAAGCGGUGGAGUAUGUGGUUUAAUUCGAUGCAACGCGAAGAACCUUACCAGGGCUUGACAUCCCGCGAAUCCUCUGGAGACGGAGGAGUGCCUUCGGGAGCGCGGAGACAGGUGGUGCAUGGCUGUCGUCAGCUCGUGUCGUGAGAUGUUGGGUUAAGUCCCGCAACGAGCGCAACCCUCGUUUUUAGUUGCCAUCAUUAAGUUGGGCACUCUAGAGAGACUGCCGGUGACAAACCGGAGGAAGGUGGGGAUGACGUCAAGUCAUCAUGCCCCUUACGUCCUGGGCUACACACGUACUACAAUGCUUCGGACAAAGGGUUGCCAACCAGCAAUGGUGCGCUAAUCCCAUAAACCGAGGCUCAGUUCAGAUUGCAGGCUGCAACUCGCCUGCAUGAAGGAGGAAUCGCUAGUAAUCGCAGGUCAGCAUACUGCGGUGAAUACGUUCCCGGGCCUUGUACACACCGCCCGUCACACCAUGGGAGUUGGCCACGCCCGAAGUCGUUACUCUAACCGUUCGCG